UGGAAAAGAAGUCCUCCGUGAGUUUCAUUUGUUCGAUCACUUCUGCCAUCACCGAUACAUACAUUGAAACCAAAAAAGAUACUGCUAUGGACGAUAAUUACCAACAAACGCAACAGACGACCGCUUAAAAUUCUGGAAGAAUUUUAUCGAUUGGAAAAUAUACGUAUGUUGAAUGCAGUUUACGUGGUACAUGAUGUGAGCUACUAACUCGAUAAGAACCUCUUGGUUGAAACGGCCGUGCCUGUAUUAUACGCGAGAGAAAAGAAAAGGAAUGGCUGUAUGUACCUAUGUACAAAUUAAGUAUAGUUGUCUUAUCGCAUCGCUACUUGCCACCGUUGCAAACGAUCUUCCUUAAACCGAACCGAGUGCGUGUAAACGAGGGAAGAUGAAGUAUGUCGGGCCUGGAGUUUCUCUCGCUUCGUCCGCUUGUCACAGAGACAAAAGAAGAAAGACGGGAUUUGAAAAGUAGUCCGUCAAAGCUACUCGUUAUCGAGCCACUUCGAGACAGAGCUGUCGUUACUCACUGAGGAUCGUGACGUGUUGCAAGCGUGCAAGAAGCAUCGAUUCAAAUGCGGAUUCGAAAAAGUCAUACGGCAUCGCGUGUUCACGCUUGGACACGGCCUUGACCUUGCCUUUUUGUUGGUUGGCACAGUUUUAUUCGAGGAUAAAUGACGCGACUAGUAUGCGCCAUCGUUUCAUGCUGGCCAAGCAUUAUAGCGCGCAACUUCCGAAUUGCGCAAAUUGUUAAUGCGAUGACGGGAUGAUAAUUUCGAAGAACUAUUCUUUGAGAACUUUAAACUAAACUUUAAUGAUUAAAGGAGCUAAUAAUAGAUUAGAACAGCAGGCUGGGUAUGAUCAAAUUUUUAUUAUAAAACUUGACCAUCAAAUAGUAUCGUUGGGUCGUUGAUGACUGUAGUAAUUUAUGUUAGAUCACAAAUUUAAGACGUUUGAUCUUAUUUUAUAUUUUAUACAUUCUCUGCGAUUGAUUUUAAAUCUACGUAAUUUAAUUGUAAAUUACAGUUCCCAAUUAGUUAAUCCAUCCGUUGGAAAGAAUGUUAUAAAAAUUGCCUUUCAAUCUCCUUGUUUGGGAUAAACGAGUGCGCGAGUACAGCGACGAGUACGCGACGCACAUUGCGAAUUCACAAACGUUAUGUCAGACGAGAGAGUCUUCGCGAUCGCAGAUAAGAAAUCGACGAUCCUCCCGAUAACGUUGAACGCUUACGACAUCGAAAUUCCAACGGAAUGUCGCAAGAACGAAUCUCUUUGUCGAUAUCGCGAUAAGAUUGCAAGAUCGACACCGUGCGUUGAUCAUGGGAACUCAACCUUGGCCUUGACUCCGCUGCACCUUGCACAUCGGUACCGGAAUUGAGGUGGCGUGGCCAGUAGUCGUAACACCGGCAGUCUCGCCAGCCGUCGACGAGCAACAAACAAAGCUCUUUUUAGAUCGAUAACUCGCUGGCUCGAGAGUGAAAGGCGAAAGAGAAAGAGAUGAAUCGACGCAACGCCGACAGAGUUCCUUUGCAAUUCACCAUUUUCUGCUCACCUUCAAAUAUUUGGAGAUUGUCUGUCGACGAAAAGGGCACACGUGUAACAUGUAUCCAGUGUUUUGAAUGUGUGUGUGAAGAAAGUACUGAAACCGCAACGUAAAUACAUAUGGAUAUAUUUAUUAUACAAUUAUAUCAUCUAUGUGAAGCUCCAGUAACGAGAAAUCGCGAUUUAUGUAUUAUCUUUUAGAAAAAAGUUCGAAAUGGGAACAUUGCAAAAAAGGAAGAAGAGAAAGAAUUAUUUGUUGUACAUCAAAAUGAUAUUGAUGGAUAAAAGAAAUAAUAAAAAUCCACGUGAUCCAGCGUUGAAGGGUACCGUGAAUAGAAAAGGAGAGUGAUUAAACUAGGUUCCCUCGAGGAAUAGUAGUCAGCACUUGAAACGAAGCAUUUAAUGUGAACACACCAAAAUGAAAGAGGGAAAUGAAAAAAUAUGAUCAGGCACAAUGAAAGCGAACUAUAUAUAGUAAUACUGACAAUAAGGAACAAAAUGUGGAAUGCAACAAGAAUGAACGAAAAGGAAACGUCAAAAUCAGGAAGAUUAGCUGAGAUGCCGAUUACACUUGAUAAGACUGAUAAUACAGAUGAUACUGAUAUCACUGAAGCUGGUCUCUCCGAUUCGUCGUGUAUAUCGAUCGCUACUGUGACGUCACACCGACGUCAGCCGAAUGAAUUCGGUAGAGAUCGGCUUCAAGACUUCCGAUGCCCUGAGGCCUCGGCGCAUAACUUGCCGAUUUCGUAGGUCGCUACAAUGCCGCGACAACGUGCGCAGGAAGCAAUUUACAAGCGGAGAUAGUAUCGUAAAUAACUUAUAACGGAACCUAAAGACGUUUCGUACGUGUAUAAAGAAACCCAGCUCGUCCAUGGAAGAUACAUACGUGUACUCACGAAGAAUUAAAUCAACGUUCAUUCUUCGAACUGAUCGUGUCCCAAGCUUAGGAAGCUUAGAAAGCUAACGUGGACAUUUUCCAAGGCCUUUAGGUUGCCAAACGAUAAUUUAAAGAUGGCAAAUGCGUGCAGGAUUUCCUGAAGUUUUUUUGUGUAAACACAAGCCGAGCAAAUUUAAAAGGAAAUGGCACGCACCUUUAAGGAUUCGGGCAAGUAGCCAGUAAGGAAGUCCAAGAGUUGAAACAGCUCUUUCUCAGCGAGCAGACGAAAGUUCCGGCCUCGUUCCGUCGCUUCAGGGCACUCCAUGCUGAAACUAAUUACCAAGAGAUGAUUGUAAAACAAAUUCUUGUGAGAGGAGAAUUUCAGAAGAAUUCAAGGACAAACAAAUUUCUCAUGAGAUACUUAAGGAGAAUUUAAUUUAACUUCUAAAGAAAGAAUUCAAAAAGAAUUUAAUAUUUCUCCAGCUGGGCAGGCUAAAGUUUAAAAUAUUCAACACUCAAGGCCUUGAAAUUAUACAGAAUAUACAGAUAAUGAAUCACACAGAAUAUAGAACAUAUGGUAAUUUAAAUCUUUGUCUAUAUCUACAGUGAUUGGAUUAGACUAAAUCUUAUUAUCUUUUCAAGUGUCGACAGUGUACACCUUUGCUUAUGCCUGCUUUGCCAACAAAGUCGACGUAAAUAUAAUCUCUAUAUUUUUCAUUUUUUUUUUUUUUUAUUAACCGAGAAUAGCGACCUUCGACUUAGCGUGAUACAUCACAGCGGAUGGUAUUGCGAUAAAUAACAUAACAAGAAAAUGACGAUGUUUGAAAUUAAGAUAAGUUAUCUGUCUCCUUAAAUUUCAGCGAGCGAUUUAUUUUAUCGAUGAAAAAUUACCGAACUCAUUAAAUUUUACCGUUAAACGAAUGAACGUUCGAUUUUUUAACUUCUGUCAACGAGUGCUGAUAAAUUCAUCGUACCGUGAAAGUACUUCACACGGAAUGUGAAGGUAUAUUGAAUUUAUGAAAAACGAACUAUUAAAAUUGCCAACCGCGUGGCCGAGCCUUUAUCGUGGUGAAGAUUAAUUGCUGUAAUCGAUGAACCGGAAACACAUAUGGACAAUAUCGAUUAGCCACAUGUAUAAACAUAAGGCACUAUAUCGGAAAAUCGAACGAAAACGUUGAAUUUUUAUCGAGCUUUAUAUCUUAUACAAACAAACUCGUUGUUAUCGAUCAAUUUUUUCCUCGGCGUAAAAUUCAAUUUACUCGAUCUCUUGUCCCUUCAUAAAUCGAUAGAAUUUUAUGAACGUCAAAUUCCGCGACGUUGUGUCAAUUUGUAUUUUUCAUAGCGUGAAAUUUAACGACUCUCAUGAAAUGUUUGAAAAACACGCUCUCGUUGAAGAAAGUAAUAUAAUAAUAUUUAUCACGCAAUUAAACCGUACUACUGAUAAUGAAACGUUUUGAAAGAUGAUCUCGCCGAUGAGAGUCAAAUAAAGUGUAGGCAAAGAAAAAUCCAACGAAAUCCAAAUAGGAUUGUCUCUCGUAACCCAUAAAAUCCCGGAUGAGUAAAACUCUUGCUAAUUUUGAGCUCUUCGUACUUUAUUUCUUAUCUCCAUCGAAAAGAGAAUAUCUUUACUCUUGCUAAUUUAUCACCGUAUUUAACUCUAUACUCUUCGCCGCAUGCCUAUGCAAUCAGCCACCAAUUGUUUUUCUAGUGAAAUUAAACACGUAUCGUUCGAACGCCAAUUCGCUCAGUAGUAUCGUUCUCUCAUGUCA